rnacentral:rRNA from 1 species
UACGUAGGGUGCGAGCGUUGUCCGGAAUUAUUGGGCGUAAAGAGCUCGUAGGCGGUGUGUCACGUCGGCCGUGAAAACCUGCAGCUUAACUGUGGGCGUGCGGUCGAUACGGGCAUCACUGGAGUUCGGCAGGGGAGACUGGAAUUCCUGGUGUAGCGGUGAAAUGCGCAGAUAUCAGGCAGGAACACCGGUGGCGAAGGCGGGUCUCUGGGCCGAUACUGACGCUGGAGGAGCGAAAGCCGUGGGGAGCAAACAGG